rnacentral:rRNA from 1 species
GACAGAGGGUGCAAACGUUUGUUCGGAAUUACUGGGCGUAAAGAGCUCGUAGGUGGUUUGUCGCGUUGUCCGUGAAAACUCACAACUCAAUUGUGGGCGUGCGGGCGAUACGGGCAGACUGGAGUACUGCAGGGGAGACUGGAAUUCCUGGUAUAGCGGUGGAAUGCGCAGAUAUCAGGAGGAACACCGGUGGCGAAGGCGGGUCUCUGGGCAGUAACUGACGCUGAGGAGCGAAAGUGUGGGGGAGCGAACAGG